rnacentral:rRNA from 1 species
AGAGUUUGAUCCUGGCUCAGAUUGAACGCUGGCGGCAGGCCUAACACAUGCAAGUCGAGCGGUAGCACAGAGAGCUUGCUCUCGGGUGACGAGCGGCGGACGGGUGAGUAAUGUCUGGGAAACUGCCUGAUGGAGGGGGAUAACUACUGGAAACGGUAGCUAAUACCGCAUAAUGUCGCAAGACCAAAGUGGGGGACCUUCGGGCCUCAUGCCAUCAGAUGUGCCCAGAUGGGAUUAGCUAGUAGGUGGGGUAACGGCUCACCUAGGCGACGAUCCCUAGCUGGUCUGAGAGGAUGACCAGCCACACUGGAACUGAGACACGGUCCAGACUCCUACGGGAGGCAGCAGUGGGGAAUAUUGCACAAUGGGCGCAAGCCUGAUGCAGCCAUGCCGCGUGUGUGAAGAAGGCCUUCGGGUUGUAAAGCACUUUCAGCGGGGAGGAAGGCGUUAAGGUUAAUAACCUUGGCGAUUGACGUUACCCGCAGAAGAAGCCCC